rnacentral:rRNA from 1 species
CCUACGGCCAUAACACCCUGAAUGCACCCGAUCUUGUCUGAUCUCGGAAGCUAAGCAGGGCCGGACCUGGUUAGUAUUUGGAUGGGAGAAUUCUGUCUUGGAUCUCUAGGUGGCUGGUGGGA